rnacentral:rRNA from 1 species
AUUGAACGCUGGCGGCAUGCUUUACACAUGCAAGUCGAACGGUAACAGGCCUUCGGGUGCUGACGAGUGGCGAACGGGUGAGUAAUGCAUCGGAACGUACCCAGAGGUGGGGGAUAACGCAGCGAAAGCUGCGCUAAUACCGCAUGUGAUCUGAGGAUGAAAGCGGGGGACCGAGCAGCAAUGUUUGGCCUCGCGCCUUUGGAGCGGCCGAUGUCGGAUUAGCUAGUUGGUGGGGUAAAGGCCUACCAAGGCGACGAUCCGUAGCUGGUCUGAGAGGACGACCAGCCACACUGGGACUGAGACACGGCCCAGACUCCUACGGGAGGCAGCAGUGGGGAAUUUUGGACAAUGGGCGCAAGCCUGAUCCAGCAAUGCCGCGUGCGGGAAGAAGGCCUUCGGGUUGUAAACCGCUUUUGGCAGGAACGAAACGGUGUCCGCUAAUACCGGGCGCUAAUGACGGUACCUGCAGAAUAAGCACCGGCUAACUACGUG